CGGCUCACGCAUUAAUAAGUCGAAUACGGAUAACUCAUUCAUCCAAAUACCAGGUAGACAACUCGGUUAAAUGAUUUCGCGAAAUACAAUUUGUUUUUUCCUGUGUUCAGUGGUGUUCUUCCAGCAACAAUGUUGCUCACCGGUGCCAACAAACAGGAAAAUCCGUCAUGACAUGCGCAGGAGCUCAGUAUCGGACCAAAGUGAAGAAAGUACAUCGGUGACACCAAGUAAUACAACUGCAGAAAUAAAGUCCACGACGAUUCGGUCAUCAUCGACGGAAAUUAUUACCACCAGUUCGAAAUUAUCCAUGCUUGAGGAACUAGAUAAUACAAGUGUUAAUUGGAUACCUAGUGCAGAUAUCACAAAACUUGCAGAUAUUUUCAAAAUAUCACCUAAAGAACACACGAUUGAUAAAGUAAAACGAGAUAUUUCAUCAGUCAUUUAUAAUGACCAACAUGGAAAAAGAGAACUAUCAUUCAAACCAGAACAGCAACAAGAUGAGCUUUUAGAAGUUGCUGAAGUUCAUCUCUUCAAACCUCUGUUCAAAUACAAGACACUUCGGGAAACCCGUAAUCAUACGGGCAAGCGAUUUGUCUACACUGCAUAAUCUACUCAAGUGUGAAACAACAAAAUUCUAAAUUUUCAAGUGGCCUCCUAUACGACUUUAUUUUUAAUCUUAAUUCUAAAUCAUUAUAUAUAAGCUAUAGCUAUUAUUGGUCCAUCCAAACUGUUUUUGUUAUUUACAUUAGAAUAUCUGUGUGAGAUCAAUAGUGUGCUGAUUCACCUACAUCAGUAGUAGCUUUUCAUUGAAUGCCACCAAGAAUGCAACGAGUGCGCAAUGCUAUUGGAAUUUAGAGUAGAGAAGUGGGGUUUUAUUGACACUGUUGGAAGGUACAGUACUUUGCCCCGGGAAUUUCAAAUGAAAAUCGUCAUAGUUAUUAUGAUAGAGGACGUCAACAAUCCAACAGGCUAGCCAUGUACUCUAGAUGGCGUCAUGUUUUUCAUACCUUUGCACACAAUAAGUUGUGAAUUCUAGCACUUAACAAGUUAACGAGGUAUUGCUCACGUAUAAAUGAGACCAUCGGCUCCUGUGCAAUUCACAUAGUUUGUGAUCACAGUAGAAAUCGCAUAUUAAGAAUAACUCCUCGGAAUGUCAAAUAUUAUAAGUUCUACACAGAUUUGAAUCGGAUAACGAAGUGCGUUUCGUAAAGGAACAUGAUUUGGUCAACUUUCUUUAUUGUUCUACUAACAGUCGAAGAAAUAUAUUGCUCUCCGCUACCUUAUGAUGACGAGGCAUGGGAUAAUAUUUCCGAACACUACAUAAACUUCGAUGACGUGUCAUUUGGUAAAGAAUUGAAUCCCAAAUCAGUCACUGAACCAAUUUUCCAAACCAUAGUGAAGAGAAGCUUAGUUCAAAUACCAGAGGAACUAUCGCUACAUCCAAUUCCACUAGUAGCAGGAUUCGACGAUGAAAACGACAUGGAAGUUGCUGAAUCACACAUAUUUCGACCGGUGUUCCGUUAUAAAUCCCAGUAUGCUGAGAGAAGACGAGUAAGACAGAUACCGUCGCAGUUUACUGCGCUUGUCGUUCAAUAACGGCAAUCUACUGCUCCACGAGUACCACCUAGGUGUAAAGUAUAUUUUAGAACUCAUUUGUAAAUUUAUUCACUAGAUCUCAUCACUUUGUAAUAAUAAAACAAACAAAGCAAUUAUAGUUAAUAAAUAAUACAACACAUAA